rnacentral:rRNA from 1 species
GAAGGUGAAGCGGGGCUUCGGCCCCGUGGAAACUGGCGCACGGGUGAGUAACGCGUGGGAAUCUACCCCGGGGUGGGGAAUAACCGCUGGAAACGGCGGCUAAUACCGCAUACGCCUUGCGAGGGAAAGCUUUAGCGCCCUGGGACGAGCCCGCGUCGGAUUAGCUUGUUGGUGAGGUAACGGCUCACCAAGGCUUCGAUCCGUAGCUGGUCUGAGAGGAUGAUCAGCCACACUGGGACUGAGACACGGCCCAGACUCCUACGGGAGGCAGCAGUGGGGAAUAUUGGACAAUGGGGGCAACCCUGAUCCAGCCAUGCCGCGUGCGUGAAGAAGGCCUUAGGGUUGUAAAGCGCUUUCGGCGGGGAAGAUGAUGACGGUACCCGCAGAAGAAGCUCCGGCUAACUCCGUGCCAGCAGCCGCGGUAAUACGGAGGGGGCUAGCGUUGUUCGGAAUUACUGGGCGUAAAGGGCGCGUAGGCGGAUUGUCAAGUCAGAGGUGAAAGCCCUGGGCUCAACCUGGGAACUGCCUUUGAAACUAACGGUCUAGAGUCCGAGAGAGGAUGGCGGAAUUCCCAGUGUAGAGGUGAAAUUCGUAGAUAUUGGG